rnacentral:rRNA from 1 species
UGGGGAAUAUUGCACAAUGGGCGCAAGCCUGAUGCAGCGACGCCGCGUGGGGGAUGACGGCCUUCGGGUUGUAAACUCCUUUCACCAUCGACGAAGGGUUUCUGACGGUAGAUGGAGAAGAAGCACCGGCUAACUACGUGCCAGCAGCCGCGGUAAUACGUAGGGUGCGAGCGUUGUCCGGAAUUACUGGGCGUAAAGAGCUCGUAGGUGGUUUGUCGCGUCGUCUGUGAAAUUCCGGGGCUUAACUCCGGGCGUGCAGGCGAUACGGGCAUAACUUGAGUACUGUAGGGGAGACUGGAAUUCCUGGUGUAGCGGUGAAAUGCGCAGAUAUCAGGAGGAACACCGGUGGC